rnacentral:lncRNA from 1 species
CUCUUAUUGGAUCAUCAUGUUUACCGACGAAUUCGUCUUUAGUAAUUAACCUACUAGAAGAUGUGAAGCGUAGCUUUGCUAUUUCUACGAAUAUAAAGGAGCCUGUUUCGGUAGAAUUACUGCAUAUAAUGUGGGUUGCUAUGUUUUCUUUUGGUGACUUGUAUAAUCAGCGUAUUUAAUAUUUGUACGUGUUUCAUUGCUUUUGCGAGUUUAUGAGUUGGUUUAUAUUCGACGAAGUGAUUAUUUUAAGUUAUUUUAGAUCACUAUUUGUCUUUUGUCAUUUAACGUAUCAAAACAGACGUAUACAGAUUGAGAGAUGGCG